UACGGAGGAUGCGAGCGUUAUCCGGGUUUAUUGGGUUUAAAGGGUGCGUAGGCGGGAUGCCAAGUCAGCGGUAAAAAUGCGGUGCUCAACGCCGUCGAGCCGUUGAAACUGGCGUUCUUGAGUGGGCGAGAAGUAUGCGGAAUGCGUGGUGUAGCGGUGAAAUGCAUAGAUAUCACGCAGAACUCCGAUUGCGAAGGCAGCAUACCGGCGCCCUACUGACGCUGAGGCACGAAAGCGUGGGUAUCGAACAGG
rnacentral:rRNA from 1 species